rnacentral:rRNA from 1 species
UUGGCCUCGGAUCAGGUAGGAAUACCCGCUGAACUUAAGCAUAUCAAUAAGCGGAGGAAAAGAACCCAACAGGGAUUGCCUCAGUAACGGCGAGUGAAGCGGCAACAGCUCAAAUUUGAAAUCUGGCCAAGCGGCCCGAGUUGUAAUUUGUAGAGGAUGCUUUAGGCGCGGCGCCUUCCGAGUUCCCUGGAACGGGACGCCACAGAGGGUGAGAGCCCCGUAUGGUCGGACGCCAAGCCAUUGUAAAGCUCCCUCGACGAGUCGAGUAGUUUGGGAAUGCUGCUCAAAAUGGGAGGUAAAUUUCUUCUAAAGCUAAAUACCGGCCAGAGACCGAUAGCGAAAAAGUAGAGUGAUCGAAAGAUGAAAAGCACUUUGAAAAGAGGGUUAAACAGCACGUGAAAUUGUUGAAAGGGAAGCGCCUGUGACCAGACCUGCGCCCUGGGGAUCAUCCGGCGUUCUCGCCGGUGCACUCCGCUGGGCUGCAGGCCAGCAUCGGUUCUCCUAGGGGGAUAAAAGCAUUGGGAACGUAACUCCUUAGGGAGUGUUAUAGCCCGUUGUACAAUACCCUUGGGGGGACCGAGGUACGCGCUCCGCAAGGAUGCUGGCGUAAUGGUCAUCAGCGACCCGUCUUGAAACACGGACCAAGGAGUCAAGCAUUAGGGCGAGUGUUUGGGUGCAAAACCCGCACGCGAAAUGAAAGUGAACGUAGGUGAGAGCUUCGGCGCAUCAUCGACCGAUCCUGAUGUUCUCGGAUGGAUUUGAGUAAGAGCCUUACCGCUUGGACCCGAAAGAUGGUGAACUAUGCCUGUAUAGGGUGAAGCCAGAGGAAACUCUGGUGGAGGCUCGCAGCGGUUCUGACGUGCAAAUCGAUCGUCAAAUAUGGGCAUGGGGGCGAAAGACUAAUCGAACUAUCUAGUAGCUGGUUACCGCCGAAGUUUCCCUCAGGAUAGCAGUGUUGUUUUCAGUUUUAUGAGGUAAAGCGAAUGAUUAGGGACUCGGGGGCGCUAUUUUGCCUUCAUCCAUUCUCAAACUUUAAAUAUGUAAGAAGCCCUUGUUACUUUGUUGAACGUGGGCCUUCGAAUGCAGCAACACUAGUGGGCCAUUUUUGGUAAGCAGAACUGGCGAUGCGGGAUGAACCGAACGCGGGGUUAAGGUGCCAGAGUGGACGCUCAUCAGACACCA